AUGAGACAAUUAUUGUUGAUGAGGAAGAUGAGACAAUUAUUGUUGAUGAUGAAGAGAAGAGAAGAGAAGAACCAUCAACAAUCAUUUUUUCUCCCCUUCAUCCAGAUCCAACAUUUUUUCUCCCCUUCAUCCAGAUCCAACAUGUGCAGGCUAGGUUGUGAUGCUCAUAUUGUUGUUCCCCCAGGUGCUGCAUGUCUGCCUCUGCUGCCCCAACUGGCCUCGGAUUCUAUUAGGCACUUGGAUUAUGUUAUUUAG